GGUGUCGAAAGACUUAAUAGGGAAGUCCGGUGAAAAACCGGUGCGGUCCCGCCGCUGUAACAGGGAGUAAGGCUACAUGAAUGUCACUGGGAGAAAUCUUGGGAAGGCGUAGCUAAGCAAUGAUCUGGAGCCAGAAGAACUGCCUAUUUAA
rnacentral:ncRNA from 1 species